rnacentral:rRNA from 1 species
UACGUAGGGGGCGAGCGUUGUCCGGAGUUAUUGGGCGUAAAGAGCUUGUAGGCGGUUUGUCGCGUCUGCUGUGAAAUUUCGGGGCUCAACCCCGAACUUGCAGUGGGUACGGGCAGACUAGAGUGUGGUAGGGGAGACUGGAAUUCCUGGUGUAGCGGUGAAAUGCGCAGAUAUCAGGAGGAACACCGAUGGCGAAGGCAGGUCUCUGGGCCAUAACUGACGCUGAGAAGCGAAAGCAUGGGGAGCGAACAGG